AGCAACACAGAUGUGGAGCUAUGAGGGGUGCUUGAUUUGAGUAAAUUCCUUCUCUUUGCAUGUUGGCGGCGUGAAGGAUCAUAGACGCUUGAAGAAAAUGCUUGAAUUCCAGUAGUGGACAGGAUAUAUUGUGAACAAUUACCAUGAACUGAAUUAGACAUUCAGCCCCCAAGCAUAUUAGCAUGACUACAAGAAUGAGGAACUAGUCCAUGGUAGAGGUGUGGAGUCAAUGUGCAACUCAUAGCAUGACAGAAACCAUUUAUAAGAAUGUCUAGGUCGCUUGAGUACCAACUGCAUGUAGUACAUAUUCUCAGCAG